GAUGAACGCUGGCGGCGUGUCUAAUACAUGCCAGUCGAGCGAACGGACGAGAAGCUUGCUUUUCUGAUGUUAGCGGCGGACGGGUGAGUAACACGUGGAUAACCUACCUAUAAGACUGGGAUAACUUCGGGAAACCGGAGCUAAUACCGGAUAAUAUUUUGAACCACAUGGUUCAAAAGUGAAAGACGGUCUUGCUGUCACUUAUAGAUGGAUCCGCGCUGCAUUAGCUAGUUGGUAAGGUAACGGCUUACCAAGGCAACGAUGCAUAGCCGACCUGAGAGGGUGAUCGGCCACACUGGAACUGAGACACGGUCCAGACUCCUACGGGAGGCAGCAGUAGGGAAUCUUCCGCAAUGGGCGAAAGCCUGACGGAGCAACGCCGCGUGAGUGAUGAAGGUCUUCGGAUCGUAAAACUCUGUUAUUAGGGAAGAACAUAUGUGUAAGUAACUGUGCACAUCUUGACGGUACCUAAUCAGAAAGCCACGGCUAACUACGUG
rnacentral:rRNA from 1 species